rnacentral:lncRNA from 1 species
AAGAAGUACAGAGUUAGAGAUAGAGAUAGAUAGACAGAGAAAGAGAUAGGGAAAUGAAACGGUGAAAGCCCCUGAGUAGCGAAGAUGAAGAUGUCUUUGAAGGGAGAGAUGGAGGGAGAGAGAGAGAGAGACAGAGAGAGAGAGAGAGAGAGAGAGAAAGAGAGAGAGAUGCUUCUCUUCUUUCCUUCGCGUUUUAAGUCCCUUUCCCGAAGGAAAAUAAACAGAUACAUUGUGCGCACAUAGAGAGCGGUACGUACAAGAUAUGCGUGGUAAUGCUUAAUAUCGACAUACGUCUGCAAACACGUAGACAUUCAGAGGCACAAAUAGCGGUCCUUGCGAUCAAGCCGCACGUGGAUUGGGAUGAGAAAGCUUGCCGCGAAUUGUACCAGAGAAAGAGAACGAAUGGAUGUCGAAAGAUCGAGAGAAAAGUGGAUGCGCAUCGAGGACGAAGGAACAACCACCUGUUUCGAAAUAUUUUUUUGCGCAUCUAUUUCCUCGAUCGUACUUGCGAAAGUCGGUUACGGUUAUUGCUCAACACACACGAGUGUAUAUAUAUAUACGACUUUCGCAAGAAGGGCAAGCUUUUUUUUGAAAGUAUAUAUAUAUAUAUUUUACAAGGAAUAAAAACAGAGAAGUGAGAAAAAAGAAGUAGAAAUAGAAGAAGAGAAAGAGGAAGAAAAAGAAGAAGAAUAAAAGGAAAAUGAGAAGAUAGAACGAGAGAAAAGAUAAAGGAGAAAGAGGAAGAAGAUCAGUAGACGAAGACAAAGCAACACCACGAACAAACGGUAGACCAUAGACAAAAAAUAUACGAUCGGCAAUAAUGUGCGACAGUGUUUGUGUUCUUUUUUUCUUUUCGUGUGUCUGUGUGCGUGUGACUGGUUACGUGUUCUCGUUUUUUACUUUUUUUAUUUUUCGUUUCUUUCCAUUUUCUUUGUUUUUGAUAUGAUACCUUGGCACUUCAUGCCCUGGUGGAUGACACCAUAGAGAAGACUACCGCAGUGGUCACAGAAGGUGGGGCUGUUGUAGGUGUGUUGCUUGAAUUGGUGCUUCGUCCGCGUGUCCUGCGUUAUUACACCAUUACACCGUGCACACACACGCAGACUCUCGGGUUAUAGGCGUGGGGAAGGGGAAUAAAUAGAGAAGAAAGGAACGAAGGAAGGAAAGAAAAAGACGAUUUCCCCGAUAAGCGAUCGCGCAAUAAUAACUUUUCGUGUCUCUCUCUGGUCCAAGUUUGGAAACAGAGUUGGCAACCGCGAAACCGAACACCUUUGGUUCGGCGUGGCUCAAUGUCAUUCCGUACUAUGGCGACCGUUAUUAUUCGAAUUAUUCUCUCGCUUUCUCUUAAAACGCGUUGAAUUUGAUUAUUGCCCUCUACGUUAAAUUUGAGCAUCGCUGUUCAGGGAAAUCAAGGCGCGAUUCGAAAAAAGGAAGGACGAUGAUUUAAGGAUUUUUUUUUUUAGGUAUCGAGAAGAGUCGUCUUCGAAGCACAGAAGCACAGGAAGGAAAUCAGCACCAGGGCCAAGGAAGACGACGCUAGGACAUUGAUCGUUUUAGUCGAAGUAUGAAUAAGAAAAAAAAAAA